CACAGCUUACACGCGGAAUAACUCGCGUCGCGGUGAUUAUCAAAUGUAUAAUAAUCAUACUACAAGUUAUGGAUGACCACCGUCACCGUGGAGAGGACAGGACGCGCAUCUGGUCGUGUACAAGCUUCGGGCAGCGGAUAAGCGCUGAUAAUGCGUCAAAACAACAGAAGGGAGGCUGGAAUAUGAAAUAUUACAGAUGAUUGAGACAGGUAAGAUCUCCCAAUCAUUACACCAAUACAGAAUGGACAUAAAUGAAAUGAUAUGAAGCUGGAGAUUGUGGAUUCUAUUUUAGAUUGUGAUAGACCAGAUUUAUUUAAUAAUUUAAAGCAGUUUGCUAGUUUGCAGUUUGACUUAUCCUCUUUCAAAGACUGUUCUGAAAACACACACACAAAAAAAGCACAUUGUAUUGAGGUGGUUCAUCAUAUGGGAAACAACAUAAAUAAUACUAUUUGUCACAAACAGCAGCUUUUUAUGUCACUUCAAAGGGUUUUCUGUAAAAGGAUAUAAAGAUAUUGCUUUUAUUCUACUAUAUGUGGGUAUGGGUAGACUUCAAAUGUGGGUAGGCGGAAAAUGUAUACAAAAAGGGUAUUAUUCCUCCCUUUAGAUGGAAUAGAAUAACUUUUGCAUAGAUUAUGAUAGAAACAAAUUUCCUUUUUCCUCUAUUAGCUGACAUGUGCUGGAAACAAAUACAAUUGUUUGCAGGAUGCUGGACCUCUCAGAACCUGAGCUAUACAAUU